GCCAGCAUGGCAUAGUGGUUUGAGUGUUGGACUAUGACUCUGAAGACCAGGGUUCGAUUCCCAGCUUGGCC
rnacentral:tRNA from 1 species